UACGAAGGGUGCAAGCGUUACUCGGAAUCACUGGGCGUAAAGCGUGCGUAGGCGGUUCGUUAAGUCUGCUGUGAAAGCCCUGGGCUCAACCUGGGAACUGCAGUGGAUACUGGCGGACUAGAGUGUGAUAGAGGAUGGUGGAAUUCCCGGUGUAGCGGUGAAAUGCGUAGAGAUCGGGAGGAACACCAGUGGCGAAGGCGGCCUCUGGAUCAACACUGACGCUGAGGCACGAAAGCGUGGGGAGCAAACAGG
rnacentral:rRNA from 1 species